AGUGAACGCUGGCGGUAGGCCUAACACAUGCAAGUCGAACGGCAGCACAGUAAGCUCUUGCUCUUACGGGUGGCGAGUGGCGGACGGGUGAGGAGUACAUCGGCAUCUACUAUUUCGUGGGGGACAUCGUAGGGCAACUUACGCUACUACCGCAUACGACCUACGGGAGAAAGCAGGAGAUCUUCACACUUUUCCCGACUCAUUGAGCUGAUGUCGCACUAGCUAGUUGGCUAGGUAAAGGCCCACCAAGGCGACGAUCCGUAGCUGGUCUGAGAGGAUGAUCAGCCACACUGGAACUGAGACACGGUCCAGACUCCUACGGGAGGCAGCAGUGGGGAAUAUUGGACAAUGGGCGCAAGCCUGAUCCAGCCAUACCGCGUGAGUGAAGAAGGCCUUCGGGUUGUAAAGCCCUUUUGUUGGGAAAGAAAAGCAGCGGGUGAAAACCAGGCUGUCCUGACGGUACCUAAUGAAUAAGCACCGGCUAACUUCGUG
rnacentral:rRNA from 1 species